rnacentral:rRNA from 1 species
AGAUGACGAGCGGCGGACGGGUGAGUAAUGCUUGGGAAUAUGCCUUAGGGUGGGGGACAACAGUUGGAAACGACUGCUAAUACCGCAUAACGUCUACGGACCAAAGGGGGCUUCGGCUCUCGCCCUUAGAUUAGCCCAAGUGGGAUUAGCUAGUUGGUGAGGUAAUGGCUCACCAAGGCGACGAUCCCUAGCUGGUUUGAGAGGAUGAUCAGCCACACUGGAACUGAGACACGGUCCAGACUCCUACGGGAGGCAGCAGUGGGGAAUAUUGCACAAUGGGCGCAAGCCUGAUGCAGCCAUGCCGCGUGUGUGAAGAAGGCCUUAGGGUUGUAAAGCACUUUCAGUAAGGAGGAAAGGUUAGUAGUUAAUACCUGCUAGCUGUGACGUUACUUACAGAAGAAGCACCGGCUAACUCCGUGCCAGCAGCCGCGGUAAUACGGAGGGUGCGAGCGUUAAUCGGAAUUACUGGGCGUAAAGCGUACGCAGGCGGUUUGUUAAGCGAGAUGUGAAAGCCCCGGGCUCAACCUGGGAACUGCAUUUCGAACUGGCAAACUAGAGUAUGAUAGAGGGUGGUAGAAUUUCAGGUGUAGCGGUGAAAUGCGUAGAGAUCUGAAGGAAUACCGAUGGCGAAGGCAGCCACCUGGGUCAAUACUGACGCUCAUGUACGAAAGCGUGGGGAGCAAACGGGAUUAGAUACCCCGGUAGUCCACGCCGUAAACGAUGUCUACUAGGAGCUGGGGUCUUCGGACAACUUUUCCAAAGCUAACGCAUUAAGUAGACCGCCUGGGGAGUACGGCCGCAAGGUUAAAACUCAAAUGAAUUGACGGGGGCCCGCACAAGCGGUGGAGCAUGUGGUUUAAUUCGAUGCAACGCGAAAAACCUUACCUACACUUGACAUACAGAGAACUUA